GGCGCAUCAACUGGCGCAUAGGACACGAAAUCCCUACAAACAGGGGAUUCCCCGCGGUCUUGAAAACCGCUGACGGGGCAACUCGUUCGUGGGUUCGAAUCCCACCCCCGCCG
rnacentral:tRNA from 1 species